GACGAACGCUGGCGGCGUGCCUAAUACAUGCAAGUAGAACGCUGAAGAGAGGAGCUUGCUCUUCUUGGAUGAGUUGCGAACGGGUGAGUAACGCGUAGGUAACCUGCCUUGUAGCGGGGGAUAACUAUUGGAAACGAUAGCUAAUACCGCAUAACAAUGGAUGACACAUGUCAUUUAUUUGAAAGGGGCAAUUGCUCCACUACAAGAUGGACCUGCGUUGUAUUAGCUAGUAGGUGAGGUAAUGGCUCACCUAGGCGACGAUACAUAGCCGACCUGAGAGGGUGAUCGGCCACACUGGGACUGAGACACGGCCCAGACUCCUACGGGAGGCAGCAGUAGGGAAUCUUCGGCAAUGGGGGCAACCCUGACCGAGCAACGCCGCGUGAGUGAAGAAGGUUUUCGGAUCGUAAAGCUCUGUUGUAAGUCAAGAACGGGUGUGAGAGUGGAAAGUUCACACUGUGACGGUAGCUGAACAGAAAGGGACGGCUAACUACGUG
rnacentral:rRNA from 1 species